rnacentral:rRNA from 1 species
GAUCCGGCUCAGGAUGAACGCUAGCUACAGGCUUAACACAUGCAAGUCGAGGGGCAGCGGGAUUGAAGCUUGCUUCAAUUGCCGGCGACCGGCGCACGGGUGAGUAACGCGUAUCCAACCUUCCGUACACUCAGGGAUAGCCUUUCGAAAGAAAGAUUAAUACCUGAUGGUAUGAUGAGAUUGCAUGAUAGCAUCAUUAAAGAUUUAUCGGUGUACGAUGGGGAUGCG